AGUAACACGUGAGUAGCCUGCCCCCUUCUUCUGGAUAACCGCAUGAAAGUGUGGCUAAUACGGGAUAUUCUGCGCCUGCUGCAUGGUGGGUGUGGGAAAGAUAUUGUUUCGGUGGGGGAUGGGCUCGCGGCCUAUCAGCUUGUUGGUGGGGUGAUGGCCUACCAAGGCGGUGACGGGUAGCCGGCCUGAGAGGGUGGACGGUCACACUGGGACUGAGACACGGCCCAG
rnacentral:rRNA from 1 species